rnacentral:lncRNA from 1 species
CUUUACCGGUAGUCUUAUGUCACUGUUUCUAAAAAUUUAGAAGACUAACCUAGUAAUAAUUGCUAAAAAGGUUAUUUAGGUGUCACUAAAUACUAUAUUUUCUUCAAAUGAAUUUUAAACAAUGCAGGCGUAUUGGAUUGAUUGUUGGUUGCUUAACGUCCAGUGACAAAUAUUUCAUGCACGACGAGGGGCAUAUUGGAUAAUUGAUGUAGCUUGCCGUUUACACAGCUUAUUAAUGUAAACACACCCUUGUCAGUUGUAAAUACAAAAUUUGGUCAUUGUCGGAAUAAAUAACAAAAAAUAUACAAGCUUUAAUUUAAAUACGAGAGUAAGGGGUUGUUAUUCGAGCUUUCCCCUUUUUCGUAGCGAGUAUUAAUACAUGUUAUAUUUUACUACAAUGUACACACUGAUGUUUUAAUAGAUAAUUUAUGAUUUACGCAUGAAAAAGUGUACCUUUAUUUUACCGACGUUUAUACUCUUCAAUAAAAUCGACAAUAUUUUAACGUAAACGUAAACAUUAAAUAUGCAUCUGUUUGCUUCCAUUAUUUAUAUCAUCUUCCAGCAUGUUCAUAUUUGGUUUGUAUAAACAACUGUUAACGUCAUAAUCCAACUGCGUUUCGUACGUCACACUUGAGCGUCCCCAUCGCACUUUAGAGUCCUACAUAUAUUUCCUCUGGUAUUCCCAACUUAUACAAUUGUCAUGUUGUUUUGAGAAGUUACAAAGGACUUUUAUUUGGCAAAAUUUCCGGAUUUUCUCGUUAUUCAGACUACAUAAACUGCAUAAAGAAACAUCAUCAUAAAAACAUUGUAAUACAAUGGCGGACUAAGACAUUGUAUUGUAUGAAAAAGAAGAUGAGGUAUAAAUGCCAAUGAGACAACUCCUCACAAGAGACCAACUGACACAGAUUAACAACUAUAGAUCAUUGUACAGCCUUUAACGAUGAGCAAAUCCCAUACCACAUAGUCAUCUAUAAAAGGCCCUGAAUUGACACAUGGAAAACAAUUCAAACAAGAAAACUAAUGGCCUAUUUUUUGUACAGAAUAGUCAAUGAAAAGCAAAUAUAAGGAAAACAAAUUCUAGUUAUCAAUUAUUAUAGGUAAAUUCCCAACACUAUUAUAAAAAUUUGUAAGGGUUCCGCGGAACCCAGUGUCUCGCCUACUCUUUCUGUUUAUGGCAAGCUCAACAAAAAUGAGGAAACAAAUCAAUAAAAUAUUCCUGUUGAUACUAUCUUUUGAUUGUAAGAAGCUUCUGUCCAAGUUUGGUAAAAAUCCAGGAUAGUUU